GCCAUCAUGGUGUAGUGGUUUGAACACUAGACUAUAACUCUGGAGAUCACGUUUGAUUCCCCACUUGACUGUG